UACGUAGGGUGCAAGCGUUAAUCGGAAUACUGGGCGUAAAGCGUGCGCAGGCGGUGAUGUAAGACAGUUGUGAAAUCCCCGGGCUCAACCUGGGAACUGCAUCUGUGACUGCAUCGCUGGAGUGCGGCAGAGGGGGAUGGAAUUCCGCGUGUAGCAGUGAAAUGCGUAGAUAUGCGGAGGAACACCGAUGGCGAAGGCAAUCCCCUGGGCCUGCACUGACGCUCAUGCACGAAAGCGUGGGAG
rnacentral:rRNA from 1 species